GAAGCUGAAAACCUUUCAUGGAGGAACAAAAGAAGUGGGAUGCGGGCAAGCCUCUCGGCUAGCAAACGCCUCUUUUUUCUGCGUUUGCUUAAAUGCAGCCUGCUACUUAACAUUAGCCCGCUGACGGAUUCUUCUGGAUUUAGCUAAACUGUCACAUAGUCUUGCUAAUUAAGUUAAUCUCAUUGGGUAACCGAUGCACCAUAUAACGGGUAGCCUUUAGCUGCACUAAGUUAGUUAGGUUAGCCUGUCUGGGCUGUGGAGUAAUUAGGCAUGCGAGUUUCAGAAGGAAAAGAGAGACCCGAAGUGCCCGAAGGGAUGUUUUCCAGCUAUGUUUGGGGGGAGAAGUGGUCAAAGCUACCUAAUGUUAGCGCUCAUCUGGCUGUGGUCGACUGCAAAAUAACUUUUUUUUUUUUUUUGUCGUUCAAGUCACAGCUCCUCUCCUGCGGUGAUUUCUGAAUGUGCUGCUCUUUGGAGUUGCGGAUAAUAUUAUAACGCUACCUAAUUCUAGUAUACUGUGGACUUUGUAGCAGCUUUUCAGUAGAGAGCCAAAGGUACAGCUCAGGAGCAAGAGUCCAGAUAUGUGAUUGAUUACAGGAAGAAUCCUAGACGAGACUUGGGUCUGCAAAUGUUAUUAUCACAGAUAUGGCUCAUUGUUGUAUCUGUAUAGAAAUGGAAAAACACCUUUUUAGAGGGCCACUCAUCCUCCAAGCACGCAGUCAUAGCUUUCCAGUAAGUGAUGCGUCUCGUCUGGAUGCAUUCCUGCCCCUUUGCAGUGAAAACAAUGCAAAGAUUUAAAUGACUUUAAAUUGUGGCUGUCUCAAAAAAAUGGGGCAUGAUUUUUGGGCUUAUAAACCACAUUUUGAGGGGAAACUAGUACUAUUGGCAUUUUCUGAGUGAACGCGAGUCAAAUCUCGGUCAAUCAUCAAGCGUUUUGAAGUCGCAUGCUGUUUUCGGAUGAUGCGGGGACUUGGGUGGGGGCUUUGAGCUAGCUAAGCCUGUAAAUCUUUCCUUAGCUCUUAGCUUUUGCUCCUUAAAGCCCCUUUUACGAGCUGCUGGUAAUUUCUGCUGCUGGCCGACAAAAGGGAUCCGUACAGCAGCGAGUUGAGCAGAAUUAGGCUAAAAUCUUAGUAGGCCAUCAAAAGCCUCCCACCCUGCCUUAUCAGCCAUGCCAUCUUUGGCUUUGGUGCUCAGCAAUAUCUGCCCUAGCUCCACCUGCCUGAAGCUGCCAUCGGCUUCUAAACAUUAAUGCCAUUUCAUUGACAUUAUUUGCAGUUUCAUUCUAGGGUGGGGUCUGCUGCCAGGCAGCUAAAAGCUUUUCCCCCAUCCCAAUCCGUGUGGAAAGCAUGAGCUCAUCCUCUCUGGCCAGGAGGUGAAGUCUGGUUUAGGCAUUACUGUCUCAGCCAAGUGUGACAGACACUAGUGUGUGUAUACAAGAAUUGAUUGAGAAAAUUCACGUUUGUGCAGUCCACGCUGUGUGGAUUUCCUCUAGUUGCUUUCUUUGUAGUUGUGCUUCGAGAGCCGAGUCGUUUUUUGGACUC